UACGUAGGUGGCGAGCGUUGUCCGGAUUUACUGGGCGUAAAGGAUGCGUAGGCGGAUAUUUAAGUGAGAUGUGAAAUACCCGAGCUUAACUUGGGUGCUGCAUUUCAAACUGGAUAUCUAGAGUGUGGGAGAGGAGAAUGGAAUUCCUAGUGUAGCGGUGAAAUGCUUAGAUAUGUAAUAGAACACCGAUUGCGAAGGCAGUUCACUAGGCGUGUAUUGACACUGAGGCACGAAAGCGUGGGGAUCAAACAGG
rnacentral:rRNA from 1 species